rnacentral:snRNA from 1 species
GGAUGUGAGGGCAGUCUGGCUCUGCUGCCUAUCACCCCAGUGAUCACCACAGCCGAUUUUGCUGAUCCAGCUGGCGAGGUGAGUGUUCCCUUCUUUUCUUACAGCCCCAUAUGUGUCCCUCCCCAAAACGGCUUGUUUGGUCAGAGAGAAUGAUCUUCUAGAAGAGCAGGGCCCGCUAUUCCUUGGUUAACGGUAUACAAACAACUGCACUUAGUAGCUAGAACCUCCAGAAAAGCUUUAAAGAAUGCAGAAGUCUUCAGGAGUAAUUCUCAGAAGCCAGCAAUACUCAAACCACGUAAUGUUUUU